AGUGAACGCUGGCGGUAGGCCUAACACAUGCAAGUCGAACGGCAGCACAGUAAGAGCUUGCUCUUACGGGUGGCGAGUGGCGGACGGGUGAGGAAUACAUCGGAAUCUACUUUUUCGUGGGGGAUAACGUAGGGAAACGUACGCUAAUACCGCAUACGACAUACGGGUGAAAGCAUGGGAUCUUCGGACCUUGUGCGAUUGAAUGAGCCGAUGUCGGAUUAGCUAGUUGGCGGGGUAAAGGCCCACCAAGGCGACGAUCCGUAGCUGGUCUGAGAGGAUGAUCAGCCACACUGGAACUGUGACACGGUCCAGACUCCUACGGGAGGCAGCAGUGGGGAAUAUUGGACAAUGGGCGCAAGCCUGAUCCAGCCAUACCGCGUGGGUGAAGAAGGCCUUCGGGUUGUAAAGACCUUUUGUUGGGAAAGAAAAGCAGCAGGUUAAUACCCCGCUGUUCUGACGGUACCCAAAGAAUAAGCACCGGCUAACUUCGUG
rnacentral:rRNA from 1 species